rnacentral:rRNA from 1 species
UACAGAGGUCCCAAGCGUUGUUCGGAUUCACUGGGCGUAAAGGGUGCGUAGGCGGUCGGGUAAGUCUGAUGUGAAAUCUCACAGCUUAACUGUGAAACUGCAUUGGAUACUAUCCGGCUCGAGGAAUGGAGGGGAGACUGGAAUACUUGGUGUAGUAGUGAAAUGCGUAGAUAUCAAGUGGAACACCAGUGGCGAAGGCGAGUCUCUGGACAUUUCCUGACGCUGAGGCACGAAAGCCAGGGGAGCAAACGGG